GCAGCCGCGGUAAUACGUAGGGUGCGAGCGUUAAUCGGAAUUACUGGGCGUAAAGCGGGCGCAGACGGUUACUUAAGCAGGAUGUGAAAUCCCCGGGCUCAACCUGGGAACUGCGUUCUGAACUGGGUGACUAGAGUGUGUCAGAGGGAGGUAGAAUUCCACGUGUAGCAGUGAAAUGCGUAGAGAUGUGGAGGAAUACCGAUGGCGAAGGCAGCCUCCUGGGAUAACACUGACGUUCAUGCUCGAAAGCGUGGGUAGCAAACAGGAUUAGAUACCCUGGUAGUCCACGCCCUAAACGAUGUCGAUUAGCUGUUGGGCAGCAUGACUGCUUAGUAGCGAAGCUAACGCGUGAAAUCGACCGCCUGGGGAGUACGGUCGCAAGAUUAAAACUCAAAGGAAUUGACGGGGACCCGCACAAGCGGUGGAUGAUGUGGAUUAAUUCGAUGCAACGCGAAGAACCUUACCUGGUCUUGACAUGUACGGAACCCUCCAGAGACGGAGGGGUGCCUUCGGGAGCCGUAACACAGGUGCUGCAUGGCUGUCGUCAGCUCGUGUCGUGAGAUGUUGGGUUAAGUCCCGCAACGAGCGCAACCCUUGUCAUUAGUUGCCAUCAUUAAGUUGGGCACUCUAAUGAGACUGCCGGUGACAAGCCGGAGGAAGGUGGGGAUGACGUCAAGUCCUCAUGGCCCUUAUGACCAGGGCUUCACACGUCAUACAAUGGUCGGUACAGAGGGUAGCCAAGCCGCGAGGUGGAGCCAAUCUCACAAAACCGAUCGUAGUCCGGAUUGCACUCUGCAACUCGAGUGCAUGAAGUCGGAAUCGCUAGUAAUCGCAGGUCAGCAUACUGCGGUGAAUACGUUCCCGGGUCUUGUACACACCGCCCGUCACACCAUGGGAGUGGGGGAUACCAGAAGUAGGUAGGGUAACCGCAAGGAGCCCGCUUACCACGGUAUGCUUCAUGACUGGGGUGAAGUCGUAACAAGGUAGCCGUAGGGGAACCUGCGGCUG
rnacentral:rRNA from 1 species